GGAAUCUUGCGCAAUGGGCGAAAGCCUGACGCAGCGACGCCGCGUGGGGGAUGAAGGCCUUCGGGUUGUAAACCCCUUUCAGGAGGGAAGAAAUUGACGGUACCUCCACAAGAAGCCCCGGCCAACUACGUGCCAGCAGCCGCGGUAAUACGUAGGGGGCGAGCGUUGUCUGGAAUCAUUGGGCGUAAAGAGCUCGUAGGCGGUUCAGCAAGUCGGCUGUGAAAGUCCGAGGCUCAACCUCGGAACUGCAUUCGAUACUGCUGUGACUUGAGUUCGGUAGAGGAGAAUGGAAUUCUCGGUGUAGCGGUGGAAUGCGCAGAUAUCGAGAGGAACACCAGUAGCGAAGGCGGUUCUCUGGGCCGAUACUGACGCUGAGGAGCGAAAGCGUGGGGAGCAAAC
rnacentral:rRNA from 1 species